CCCUUAGAUGUCCUGGGCUGCACGCGUGCUACACUGAUUAUUUCAACAAGUGUUUUAACUGGAGAGUUCGCGUAAUCCUGAAAUGUUAUCGUGAUGGGAGUAGAGUAUUGUAUUUGUUAAUCUUUAACGAGGAAUUCCUAGCAAGUGUAGGUUUAUAAGUUGUUCUGAUUACGUCCCUGCCCUUUGUACACACCGCCCGUCGCUCCUACCGAUUGAUUGAUCCGGUGAAUUACAUAGAAUUUUGCGUUUUACAUGACGGAAGACGAAGUGUUUUAAACCUUAUCAUUUAGAGGAAGGAGAAGUCGUAACA
rnacentral:rRNA from 1 species